AGCGCAGGGCAGCUCGGGAGCGCGGCCGUCCCGGGGCCGCGGCCCUUUGUCCCGGGGCCGGUCCUGCCGCCGAGCACGGCCCGAGGGUCCCCGGCCUGCGCUCCCCCAACCCUCCCCCGGCCACGCAGACAGCUUCCCCAGCCUCGCUCGGGAAUUAACAAGACAAAAGUGGCCUCAACAGAAGACUUCUUGUUACAAAGCCUCUGGCACUAUAUUCACUUCAGUUACGCAUGGGCAGACUGUCUGGGCUGCAGCGAGAUGUGAGCUGCCUCCAGGAGCAGCUUAUGCCCACCGUUGCUGCCACUCAGCCCUCCAUCUGCUAAAGACAAGGUCCAAGAGGCAAUGCCCUUAAACAUGCUACUUGAGCAGGGCAGUACCUCCAAACCUGACUUUGCUACGCAUUGCCACGUGGCAACACAGACUCAAUGACCUCAGCUCCACUACACCUUUGCUACACGUUCUUAUAACCUAUUGUACAUUUUCUAUUGUGCAACUGUCUGCUCAGUCUGGAUUAUUCUGCUUCCUCCAGGUAAUCCAAGACCAACUGCAAUAACUUCUGAGUUUCCUCAUGUUCCCAGGCAUCUAGUUUCUUCAGUAGUAUCUACAUUACUCAAAUCCUCCUCUCAUCCCUCCACUAUACUUUUGCUGCCACAGUGACAACAACCCAAGGUUUUCCCUAGCCACUAUUAUUUUUCACUUGGCAUCUCCAUUCCCUCUUACAGCAAGUGUUAACAGCCUCCCAGGGAAGCGGCUCCAUCUGUGCUGGCAUUGCAACAACUAGCAAUUUGCACAGAAGUUGCAGCGAAGACAGAGUCCCCAGAGCUUCAUUAGCCACAAACUUAAAUGCUUCCAGCUGUGAUCAAGAUGGAUCUAACCAUGCACAUAUUCACACCAAAGCAUUUCAGUGGAACUACCUACUGAUGGAUACUGCAGGAAGUAAGCAGCACAAAUGAAUCAUUUGUUAAGUCAAUAGUGAACCAUCACCCCAGUUUUAUUCCACAGGUGACCAGCUUCCGGUGGUACGUGAUUUUUAGAGCCAUAAAAAGUAAACACCUUGGGGUUACUAAGAAUCCCAUGACACAUUUCAAGCUAGUUAGAUGUUUUCAUCUGAGCCAAAUAUUAACUGGGGUAACAAUCUACCUAAGAUUUCCUCCUGUGGGGAAUACAUUGAGUUUGUAUUUUCUUAAAAAUCUGCUCAAAGUAGUGAGUAUACAGUAACAUUUAGAAUAUCCUUUAUUGUAUUUAGCAGAGUACCCCUGUUUCUCAAUUAAAAUAAAGCUCAGGAAAUCCACAGCAGUGAUCUACAGAAAUUAAGUGGAUAUUUAAAUCUCCCCAACAUAAAAUAGAGAAGAGGUACAAGGCAAGCACCCCAACAAUUCAAUAAAACUAUGUGCUUUAAUUGCUUAAA